rnacentral:tRNA from 1 species
AGGGGCUUAGGAUAAUUAGAAAACCAAGGGCCUUCAAAGCCCUAAAUGGGGGUGAAACUCUCCCAGCCCCUG